CGGCGGACGGGUGAGUAACACGUGAGUAACGUACCAUAGAGUGGGGGAUAACUACCCGAAAGGGUGGCUAAUACCGCAUAAGACCACAACGCCUUCGGGCGAAGGGGUCAAAGCCUUCGGGCGCUCUUUGAUCGGCUCGCGGACCAUUAGGUAGUUGGUGAGGUAAUGGCUCACAAAGCCUGAGAUGGUUAGCUGGUCUGAGAGGAUGAUCAGCCACACUGGGACUGAGACACGGCCCAG
rnacentral:rRNA from 1 species